CCUACGGGCCGCACCAGUGGGGAAUAUUGCACAAUGGGCGCAAGCCUGAUGCAGCCAUGCCGCGUGUAUGAAGAAGGCCUUCGGGUUGUAAAGUACUUUCAGCGGGGAGGAAGGUGUUGUGGUUAAUAACCACAGCACUUGACGUUACCCGCAGAAGAAGCACCGGCUAACUCCGUGCCAGCAGCCGCGGUAAUACGGAGGGUGCAAGCGUUAAUCGGAAUUACUGGGCGUAAAGCGCACGCAGGCGGUCUGUCAAGUCGGAUGUGAAAUCCCCGGGCUCAGCCUGGGAACUGCAUUACAAACUGGCAGGCUAGGGUCUUGUAGAGGGGGGUAGAAUUCCAGGUGUAGCGGUGAAAUGCGUAGAGAUCUGGAGGAAUACCGGUGGCGAAGGCGGCCCCCUGGGCAAAGACUGACGCUCAGGUGCGAAAGCGUGGGGACUAAACAGGAUUAGAUACCCGCGUAGUC
rnacentral:rRNA from 1 species